rnacentral:lncRNA from 1 species
UCAGCCCUGCCUCUUCUCCUCUGGUUCUGCCGCACCUUUCUCCAACUCAUUUUCUUUUACCUCUUCUGACCUACGUUCUGUCCUUUCGAACAGGACCAGCCCCUCGGUCCCUGUCGCUGUGCAGCCUCGGCUCUCUCCGGACUGGAGCAGGUCACAGCGUGCAUACUUCUGUGCCAGGGAACCAGUUUCUAGAGUCCAGACAUGCUACUCUCCCUGCUCUGCAUCUGCUUUAACAAGACAGAAGACAGAAUGUGCUAAGUGCAUUUGCCAUCAGAACAGCAGGCUUCCAGCUGUACAGCUGUUGCUCCAACCAUGUACCAGAGAGCCAGAAAUCCCAGACAAAUGACUGAAGUCUCUCUAUCCAGGUAACAUUUCCAAGCAGAAAAAGUAGAUUAUAUUGUAGGAUACCUGGGUAAGUAUUAGUCCUUUUUUCUAAGUAGUACAUAUCCUUGCUCUAAAAUUCAUGAUCACAUCAUUACCUGUUAUAAC